rnacentral:lncRNA from 10 species
GCUAAUUGCAGUAUGUGACAGAGAAUGAAGGACAACAAAUGCAGAACUUUUGGACAUAAAUGCACCUUCUUGCCUUUAGAACAGGUACAAAAUUAAGCCCAUUCUGCAUUUUGUAUUUUUUCAACGUAUCUGAAUCUGGAGGGAUUUGACUGUUGUUGUAGGAUUAGCUUUGCCUGAGAUUAGGUUCUUUUUAACAGGAAAUGAGCAGUGAGCCAAGAGCUGGCACACACAUACCAGUAGCAUUUCUAGAUGGUAAUGUUUCCUGACAGACACGGAUAUCCAGCAGCAGGUGGCACCCCUUUUCAGGAAUAACCACUUUUACAAGAUUGGCCACUGAAAUAUAUACCUCCAUAAAAAGUAAAGUAGCAGGUCAUGACAUGGGGUCCAUUGUUCUUUAGAAAAAUACUGACGGUUAUGCUGAUAUAUUUUGGGAAAAUGAUUACAUAAAGAGAAAUAUCUCUUGUGUUAAGAGUUCCUUAAUACUCUCCUGGCUUCUUUCUAGUCUAUUAAGAUCUGCUGGACUGAUAAGGUUGCUGUCUCUAGAAACAGAGAUAAAAAGAAAAAAGAAAACACAAACAAAACCUUUCAUGAGGUGCUUGCCUUCCCUCGUUAAGAAUAUCAAUUAGCCUAUGGGCUGGAGGACUGCCAUUUGAGGGUUCUUGUCUGAUAAAGUAGGCUGCUCCAUUUAAGCCAGCAGUACAUGGCACCCUGUGAACCACAGAGUACUUAUCAAAUUACUCAAAGUAGGAGGUGAGACUGAAGCAGCACUGAGCUUCACACUUUGCCUAAUCAAGCUAAUCCCAAGACAGGAAAUGCUACAAUAGGAAGCUGGGGUCAAGCCCAUGAAAUAACGCUCUUUAGCAACAGUUCGCUAACCCAGCUGGGCCUCUCUCAUCCUAGAACAGGUAAGCACUGUGGCCAGGCAGGGAGAAGCAUCUUAGAAGCCAGCCAGCUGAAGAGAGAUGAAGGAGGGAGGUGAGAGCUGGAAACUGACUGCACACAGUAGGAAGAUAAGCGCCGAGCACUCGCCCAGACACCUUCUUUAGGGAAUGUGCAAAACUGCAGAAACCACAGCUAAACAUUCUCAGGUUCUCAGAGGUGGGGGACACGACGCAGCCUCCUUACCCAGGGUCAGAUUCUAAAAUUCUGCAGGGAGCAAAAAAAUCACUUGUAGCUCAAUGAUCCUCAAACAUUUUCUUGAAUUGUUCCCUGAAUAGAGUGUACAUGGUUUUGCAUGUCAAUUUUUUUUUCUUUUUACAGUGAGGCUUAAACAUGAAAAUUUGAGGAACGCUGAGCAGGAAUAGAAGGAAAGCCUACAUUUUUAUCAUUUCAACCUCUUUGCUUUUCAGAGAAUAAUUAACUCCUUGGCUGUGAAUGAUGGAUGCAUGGAGAAUUCUACCUCUUGCCUGCAGGCUAUUUGCUAGCUUCUUUUAAUAUUUUUCCUAUAACCUUAAGAUCUAUGAAUAGAUUUGUUUGUUGUGGAGAAGAUUAAAUUAGAUGGCAUAAUCUCACAUUGGAGAGGGGCAUAUACUUAUUUAGGAAGUGAGUUUACAGUUCACAACCAGGAUGGCUCAAAGGGAUCUCAAACUGAACAUGUUCAAAACCUAAUCCCACAUCUUCCUCUACGCAGAUCCGCUACAUCCUACCUUCUCUGUGACGACUUUGAAAAGUGUCCAUGAAUUCUUUGACACUCUUUUCAAAAGGUGGAGCCUAAUUUCCCGUCCCUUAAGUGUGGACUGAUGAUUUGCUUCUAAAGAACAGAAUAAGGUGGAAUGGAUGCUCCUGGCACUGCCUCUGGCUGGGGACUUCUCACCUUGGGAGGCAUCGUCGUUUGGAGGGCUUCCAUAGCAAAGUAUCGCACACAGUAACUUCACCAACAGAAAUUUACUCGCUCACAAUUCUGGAGGUUGGAAGUCUGAGAUCAAGAUGUCAUCAGGGUGAGGAAAAUGAGGCAGAGAAUGAAACAUUUCCAUCUGGAUGACCAAACCGUCAGCUCCUAAAGGGCCGCAGAGGCUGAGGGCGCUGCUGGCAGCCGGCCCUCUGUGGACAUUUGCUGAAUAAACAGAAGAUAUGUGCACCAGUGUUCGCUCCUUUGGGUGAUACCAUCCCAUUUUUAUUUUCUGGAUUUCCUUCCUGAUGGGUCCAUUGUUCCUCAUUUUCCUCUAGCAUUAAAUUCCUUUAUCUUUUCAUUCCCACACAGUCGCUGCCUGUGGUUGAAAAUUGAGUCACCUCUCAGGCCCCAGUGACUUUCCUGGAGAAGUCCAGGAAGCAGGCCUGCUGCAAGAUCCGGGCAAAUUCCUGGAAUCCAUUCCCCGAGGUCAGCAUAUGAGCUCAAACCUGGGACUGACCGGGGCAGACAUAAGAAGGAACACUUCCCCCACACCCCACGAGGAUUUGCACUCGAGUGUUCCAAACCAUCCUGGGGCGAACGGGACACAGUGGGGAACAACUGGUCAUAUCUUUAUGCCAGCGUUUGCCAGAGCCUGCGCCCAGAGAACCAGCUCCACAGAUCUAUGCCAAAAGGCUCUAUGCCAAUUAAGUUUGUGAAGCAUCAUAUAUUAUAUUCUCUGGGGAUUGGCCGGGCUUGGGGGCUCAUGCCUGUAAUCCCAGCACUUUGAGAAGCUGAGGUCAGGAGUUUGAGACCAGCCUGGCCAACACGGCAAAACCCCGUCUCUACUAAAAGUACAAAAAUUAGCCAGACGUGGUGGUGGGCGCCUUUAAUCCCAGCUACUCAGGAGGCUGAGACAGGAGAAUCGCCUGAACCCGGGAGUGGAGGUUGCAGUGAGCCGAGAUGGUGCCACUGCACUCCAGCCUGGGAGACAAGAGCGAGACUCCAUCAAAAAAAAAAAAAAAAAAAAAAAAAAAGGAAGGAGAAAGGGAAAGGAGGGAGGAAGGGAGGAAAAAAGGAAAGGAAAAAAAGAAAAAAUGAAAAGAAGAAAAGAUUUCUUGGUCAAAAUGAGACAUACAAAACCAAACAUUUCUAGAGGACAUCUCAGAGUCUGUAACAGAUUCUUGGGCAUUAUAAAGACCUUCCUUGGCCGGGCACGGCGGCACACGCCUAUAAUCCCAGCACUUUAGGAGGCCGAGAUGGGCGGAU